rnacentral:lncRNA from 1 species
CCCUCCACGCCGUGCCCUCUUCCGAGAUCUCCACCAACGGCGAGUGCGCGUCCAGGUCUCCACCAUCAGCGAACCUCUACACUAGCCUCGGUCUCAGCCCUGGCCAUGGCGGUGGGCGCUGCGUGGGCAUGACCUCGACCUCAGCGUGAGGGGGUAACCGCGCUAAACGGGAGAAGCCCGUGACGGCGAUCGUGGCGAGCGCAACUCCGGUCAGCCGUGACACAACUCCUGACCCUCCCUCCCAGGCAGCACGACCGCAGCAUCUACGAAGUCUCCCAAGUCCAUUACCGGC